GCCCCCAUAGCUUAGUAGGUAGAGCGACGGACUGUUAAUCCGUAGGUCGCAGGUUCGAGUCCUGCUGGGGGCG
rnacentral:tRNA from 2 species